UACGUAGGGGGCAAGCGUUGUCCGGAAUUAUUGGGCGUAAAGAGCUCGUAGGUGGUUUGUCGCGUUGUUCGUGAAAACUCACAACUCAAUUGUGGGCGUGCGGGCGAGUACGGGCAGACUGGAGUACUGCAGGGGGAGACUGGAAUUCCUGGUGUAGCGGUGGAAUGCGCAGAUAUCAGGAGGAACACCGGUGGCGAAGGCGGGUCUCUGGGCAGUAACUGACGCUGAGGAGCGAAAGCGUGGGGAGCGAACAGG
rnacentral:rRNA from 1 species